rnacentral:rRNA from 1 species
GACGAACGCUGGCGGCGUGCUUAACACAUGCAAGUCGAACGGAAAGGCCCUGCUUUUGUGGGGUGCUCGAGUGGCGAACGGGUGAGUAACACGUGAGUAACCUGCCCUUGACUUUGGGAUAACUUCAGGAAACUGGGGCUAAUACCGGAUAGGAGCUCCUGCUGCAUGGUGGGGGUUGGAAAGUUUCGGCGGUUGGGGAUGGACUCGCGGCUUAUCAGCUUGUUGGUGGGGUAGUGGCUUACCAAGGCUUUGACGGGUAGCCGGCAUGAGAGGGUGACCGGCGACAUUGGGACUGAGAUACGGCCCAGACUCCUACGGGAGGCAGAAGUGGAGAAUAUUGCACAAUGGGCGGAAGCCUGAUGCAGCAACGCCGCGUGCGGGAUGACGGACUUCGGGUUGUAACCCGCUUUCGCCUGUGACGAAGCGUGAGUGACGGUAAUGGGUAAAGAAGCACCGGCUAACUACGUG